AGCGUUCUUUGAAGUGCUCACACAGAUUGUCUGAUAGAAAGUGAAAAGCAAGGCGUCUUGCGAAGCAGACUGAUACGUCCCCUUCGUCUAGAGGCCCAGGACACCGCCCUUUCACGGCGGUAACAGGGGUUCGAAUCCCCUAGGGGACGCCACUUGCUGGUUUGUGAGUGAAAGUCACCUGCCUUAAUAUCUCAAAACUCAUCUUCGGGUGAUGUUUGAGAUAUUUGCUCUUUAAAAAUCUGGAUCAAGCUGAAAAUUGAAACACUGAACAACGAAAGUUGUUCGUGAGUCUCUCAAAUUUUCGCAACACGAUGAUGAAUCGAAAGAAACAUCUUCGGGUUGUGAGGUUAAGCGACUAAGCGUACACGGUGGAUGCCCUGGCAGUCAGAGGCGAUGAAGGACGUGCUAAUCUGCGAUAAGCGUCGGUAAGGUGNGGUCUUGACAUCCACAGAACUUUCCAGAGAUGGAUUGGUGCCUUCGGGAACUGUGAGACAGGUGCUGCAUGGCUGUCGUCAGCUCGUGUUGUGAAAUGUUGGGUUAAGUCCCGCAACGAGCGCAACCCUUAUCCUUUGUUGCCAGCGGUCCGGCCGGGAACUCAAAGGAGACUGCCAGUGAUAAACUGGAGGAAGGUGGGGAUGACGUCAAGUCAUCAUGGCCCUUACGACCAGGGCUACACACGUGCUACAAUGGCGCAUACAAAGAGAAGCGACCUCGCGAGAGCAAGCGGACCUCAUAAAGUGCGUCGUAGUCCGGAUUGGAGUCUGCAACUCGACUCCAUGAAGUCGGAAUCGCUAGUAAUCGUGGAUCAGAAUGCCACGGUGAAUACGUUCCCGGGCCUUGUACACACCGCCCGUCACACCAUGGGAGUGGGUUGCAAAAGAAGUAGGUAGCUUAACCUUCGGGAGGGCGCUUACCACUUUGUGAUUCAUGACUGGGGUGAAGUCGUAACAAGGUAACCGUAGGGGAACCUGCGGUUG
rnacentral:rRNA from 1 species